rnacentral:rRNA from 1 species
AAGAAAAGGGGAAGGCUCUUCGGAAGCUUUUCGCUUGAAGGAGGGGCUUGCGUCCUGAUUAGCUAGUUGGAGGGGUUAACGGCCCACCAAGGCGACGAUCAGUAGCCGGUCUGAGAGGAUGAACGGCCACAUUGGGACUGAGACACGGCCCAGACUCCUACGGGAGGCAGCAGUGGGAAUCUUCCGCAAUGGACGAAAGUCUGACGGAGCAACGCCGCGUGAACGAUGACGGCCUUCGAGUUGUAAAGUUCUGUUAUACGGGACGAAAGGCGUAGCGGUCAAUACCCGUUACGAGUGACGGUACCGUAAGAGAAAGCCACGGCUAACUACGUG